ensembl:lncRNA
UCCAUGCAAUAAUGGUGGAAAUAUGCAAUAGCUAAAAUUGAAUGUCAAAUAUAAUCUUGCCCUGAAAAUGUGACAUCUAGCAUCACCAAUGUUGCAGUUCUUUAUGAAGUUUUUUCCUGCUCUUGACAAGUGAUUUAGAACCCUGUAUGCAGCCCACUGGACUAUCAUGUACAAAUCCUUUAUACUUUAGUCUUGUGUGUCUUUCUCUCUCCCUCUUUUCUCUCUUGUGGUCGAGAUCCGGCCAUGCCAAUGAUGGAGUGGAGAGGUAGUGCUGAACAGACGGGACAGCUUGCUCAAACCCAAGGUAAUAAAAGCACAGAACAAACAUGCAUUCCCUGAUCUGCCGGUCACAGCAACAGAAAGUGUCGCUUUUAGAACCCAACCACUCGACGACAAAGGAAAUUGUCAGGGGAUGGAGACUUAACCAUGUCAGCGAGACAGAGAGAAGGAGAAAAAAAGAGGGAGAAGAGGAGAUAAAGAUAAAUGGCGCAUCAGAAACCAAUUAUCACAGGAAGCAGAUUAAAAUGGUUUCACAUUUUCACACACAAAAGAGAAUGCGAGUCAAUUUUUACUGAUUACACCUUCCGUCUCUCUCCUCAUUCGUUAACAUGUUUGUUAAAUCCCCUCUGUGUUCAUUAACUUCUUCAUUUAGCUAUACUGCCGACAUUUGUUCUCUCAGCACUGUUUGUCCAACAAGAUCUGCCUCCUACCAGUUUAAAGGCGGAGAGACGGUGUUAGCAGUUAUUCGCUUCGGCUCGGGGCCUCAGCAGAGAUCACACAUUGGGGUGACACCAGUGAAACUGAUAAAGCUAUCUGUCAGUGGAACCUGAGGACCCAGAUUUAGCAAGUACUUACGACAUGUUAAAAUAUUUUCAUGAAUAACAAUUAUAUGCCAAAAUAUCACUUCUGUUGCAUGUUUUCUCCUCUCUCUCUGUCUUCAGUCUACUUUAUCUUCUUCUUCUGCUGUCACUACAGUACUAUAAUAUACGCACUUUAGGGCCUUUCGCACAGCUUUAGUUCCAGAACUAAAUGUACAGUACUAAAGUACUGGGACUAUUUUGCGCGAACUGUUUCCCAGUACAAUUUAAAGGGUUGCAUUCGCACCGAGAGUGUGUACUAGGACGUGAGCAUAGAGAGGGAAAAAUGAUUAGGAAAAGGGAAUUGUG